rnacentral:rRNA from 1 species
CUGGCUCAGGACGAACGCUGGCGGCGUGCUUAACACAUGCAAGUCGAACGGUAAGGCCCUUCGGGGUACACGAGUGGCGAACGGGUGAGUAACACGUGGGUAAUCUGCCCUGCACAUCGGGAUAAGCCUGGGAAACUGGGUCUAAUACCGAAUAGGACCACAGAACACAUGUCCUGUGGUGGAAAGCUUUUGCGGUGUGGGAUGGGCCCGCGGCCUAUCAGCUUGUUGGUGGGGUGAUGGCCUACCAAGGCGACGACGGGUAGCCGGCCUGAGAGGGUGUCCGGCCACACUGGG